rnacentral:tRNA from 1 species
GGUCGGGUAGCUUAAGGAAAGCGGCCUUCUAAAAGGGAGGCAGUUCAGGGUUCAAGUCCCUGCCCGGCCACCA